GUCCUAAGGGAAGCCAGGGGGGAUCAGGGGUUCUGAGAGGAGAUGAGGGGGCCUGGGGGACUUGAAAGAUGCUGGAACUUGAGCAGGACUGGGAGUUCUGAGGGGAGCCAGGGACACCGAGGGUCACAGGAUUUGUCUGAAGGGCGCCUGCAGCUCGAGCAGAUGUGCAGUCCUGACACAGAUCAGAGCACACACAGGCUGGAGGGGGCUUGGAGCAACCUGGACUAGCAGAAGGUGUCCCUGCCUGGUGCCAAGGCUAGCUGGAGGAUGAUUUUUUCUUUACUGGGACAUGUGCCAUGUUUGUCUCCAAUAUUUUUCCAGAAGAAAGCAACAUCUUCUCGUUCUCCUCGCUGUGGUGGCAGCGCAGACGUCCCUUUUAGACCGAGAUCCACAGGCUGAUUGCCCUCGGCUGGCAGCGGGAGGGGUCGGGCAGUGCCAGCUGUGUCCUGUCCUGCCCUUCCUGCAGCGCCCUGGCUGUGGGACGAGCGCCGAGGAUCCCGUGGGAGCGCAGGAAGCGCCGCUCCUUGGAAAGGCGAGCGGGGCCGGCCGGAACCAGGACAUUCUGGGAAGCCCCCGAGGUGGUUUGCAUCACACUUCUGUCACAGCUGACUUGGACCCUUUGGAACUGCAAAUGAGGCUUGGUUCAGGCAGUGGCUCUAAAAAGCAUUCUGAGGAUUUCCAGUACCCAAGUGAUUGAAACAGACUGAGCACCCUGACAGAAAGAAAGGCAGGUUAUUCUUCUGGAACCCCUACAAUAUCAAAGAACAAAUCAAAAUCCACAAUGUGAUUUGUUUGUAUUGUAAAGUUCAUAUUUGGCUCUUGUAGGCACCACUCCUGGGACUUAAAAAUCAACUAGGAUUACAUUUUAGCCUGAGUAUUAAAUGGGCAUGGAAUUAAAACAUCAGAGCAGCUAUGUCCAAUUCUUUUAAGUAAUUAAUGUAUAUAAAAUCUCAUUUCCAUACUGAUUAAUGGUUUGGUUUCUCUCAUCUCUCAUUGGUCAGUGAAUUAUCUCACAAUAAUCUCGUUUUCUUGGUUGUGAUUAGCAAUAACUCCUCUUUGUUCUUUUCUGCAUCACUGUGUUCCCAGAACUUCUGAGAAAAUGAUCUUUUUCCCCUGGAUUAGUCACGGUGUUAGGACAAACAUGGCCUUGUUUCCUCAUGAAAUGUAUCAGCACCACUGUGUUUAUUUCUCCACAGCCUUGACCAGCAGGAGGAUGGGGGAGUCCAACUGAAGAUUUGGAUGCAAACUUCUGGUGAAAUGGCAGCUUUUGCAAAGUUCAGUGUGGGCAGUGCUGGAGUGCCUGACCAGUGUUUAUCCUGCACAAACUCCAAGGGAGAGGCGAGAGCCGUGAGCUCAGCGUGGCUUUGAUCCAGUCACCAACUGCCCAAAGCACUUCUAAACAUGUCAGGCUCAAGGAACAGCUUGUGGAGAGCAGGAGAGGGCCACAGUCAUUCCCAGCAGCUUUCAUUCCCCAUGGAGGCACUACAAGGAGAAAGCUCCUCCACUUUCAUCCCUGGGAAGAGGGAGGGAGUUGGUGUGAGCUGGCACAGCUUCCCCACCACAUCACCAGCCCCAUCCCAGGGAGGGAGUGACCAGGGCUGUGCUCACCAUUCCCUGUGCUCCACUGGAGCAGUGGAGCAGAAAAGCUGCAAUGGCCACUGAUGUUUAGUGGUUUUCCUACAGAGUGAGAGUUUUUAGGAGAGACAGAAAAUGGAAAUGGGAAGAGUUUCAUGUCUAAAUGUCUAUUUAUUGUCUAAAUGGUGAUUCUGGCUUGGAAAAUGGUUCUUUGGUACCUUCCAAUGUUCACGGAAUCGUGGAAUUCCAGACUGGAUGGGGUGGAAGGGACCUUAAAUCUCACAUUCCCAGCCCCUGCCAUGGGCAGGGACAACUUCCACUGUCCCUGGCUGCUCCAGCCUGGCCUGGGACACUUCCAGAGAUCCAGGGGCAGCCACAGCUGCUCUGGGAAUUCCAACCCACCCAGGGAAGGAUGGGGGUUAUAAUGUUUGGGUUUGAUUUAGAAUAGAAAGCCAAGUCCAGGAUGGGUUUGUUAAUUUUUUUUUUCCCAAAGAAAAAAUGCCUUCAGAGUUGUGGAAUUUUAUUCUUCGAGGUAUUGGUGUUACAGAAUGUGCUGAAGUAUUUGUAUGGGAAAAUUAAUGAAAUUAUCCCAGAUUAAAUAAUUUGCUGCCAGUUAAGAGCCUGGUGCUAUCAUUUUUAGAUUGGUGAUGUGUUUACAAACAACACACUGCCACAUCUACAUAAAUUAUAAAUAAAUAUAUAUAUUUAGUGAGAGAGGUGUAACCCAUGAUUGAAGUGAUAUUGUGGUUGAAUCCCUCAUAUCAUCCACUUUUCCCUCUGAAAGGAUUUAAUUGUCCAAACAAAUAGAGAAAGUUUAAGGGAAAUUCUUACAUAAAGGAAAAAGGGAGAACUUUCCCUUUUUUCUGUGUAAGCCAUUGCAGAGUUUCCCUGCAGAAAGCUUCAACCUGUAUUGACAUUUUGGUUCCCUUUUUUCCCUGAUCCUGGCUGCCCCUGAUUCCAGAGAACAAUGGGAGGGGAGUGAGUGCUGAGGGUAUUUAAAGCACAAUCAUGGGAAAUGCUCCCAUCACACAGAGCCCUUUUCCUUCCCCUGGCGAAUCCCCUGGCUGUGCUCCAGAGCCUCUUCCCCAGGGAAUUGUUCACAUGGAGAACUCCUGAAUUGCAGGGACACCGUUGGAAGGGCACAAGGACACCCCAUCCAAGGCCCAGGAUCCACUUUCCUGCUGCAUUCAGAAGGUGCUGCUGGGGGAAUCACACUGAUUCUAACAGCUCCAAAGGACCACGUGGAGCCCAGGAGCAGCUCGGACUCAGGUGGUGAAAGCACAGCACCAUUUUCCUGCCUUGAGGGAAGAAGGCGAGUCCUGGAGGUCCCCAAGAAAUGACAGAAUUUCCAAGCCAGGGAAGCUGGAAUGACCUUUCCUUGAAACUCCGGGCUAGGAAUAAUUCCCUUCACAUGUCCUGAGUGGGGAUGAGCUGGCUGUGGUGCCAGGAAAGGUGAGGGGAAUAUUUCAGUUACUCACCUUGUAUUUAUUCACUUGUCAUUUCAGGGGAACAACGUGAACCCUCUCCUUUCCUCCUCCCAGGCCAUGAAUAACAUUGAGGAAAUUGUUUGCACUUGGAAACCACAAGGUGGGGAGGUCAGGGAUAUAAAAAUGCAAAGAAUUGUAAUCUGUGAGUGAAACUGUGAAAUCAAAUGUUGAGCAAGAUGCUUCGAAAGGAAACAAUAUAUUUUCAGAAUUAGAUCACAAGUGAUUUUUUUUUUUUUGCUGUACAGAAUAAUUUCUCAUUCACUCUUUGAAGGAAAUGAAAAAGAAAAUUACAUUUCAUCUCUCUCUCCAGCCCUUUACUCUAACAAAUACUUAGGCAGAAUUUCUUGUCCUCUAAUUUGAAUUAUCAGUUUGAGAAAUGUUUUUUUCCUCAACUCUCCAGCUUGUUUCCAAUUCUUUGCCUAUAAGGAAAUGAUUAUGCUUCCCCUUUCCCACCUUUUAUCUCUUUUCCUCAAAAUUAGAGCUUUCUGUAAUUUUUUCCCCAUGGUAUCAUACUCAGAGAUAAAGCUGGAUACAUGGAGAUGACUCAGAACUAUUGCAAAAAUUGUGAUUUUUCUUUUUUUUUUUAUUUUAAACAAUGUCAACCCAAUGAGAAUAUUUAACAUAACCAUGUCAACUACAGGGAUAGAAUUUACUUGAAUUUCCUCAGAUCAAGGCCUGGGAGAGCUGGUGAGAAGGAAUUCCACUGAGGGGAGGAAUGAAUUUGGAAGCGAGGGAUCAGGUGUAUCAGCAAAGGAAUUAAAGCUCAGGGAACAACGGGACCACUGAAUCAAGUUGUUUGCUUGGAAACUUCUCCAGGCUGCAGCAGAGAGAAGGAAAGAAAUCCACCCCACCUCAGCCAGGUCUUGGAAAGCCUCCAGCAGAGUUCAGCCUCUCGAGGGCAGAGGAAAUGCCUGAGGAGGGGCUGCUGGAUGUGCAGAAAAUGCUCAGCUGUGGGCAGGAAAAAAGCAGGAGCUGGCAGGAGAUCUGCUCUGGAAUGAAGGAACUGAGGGGGAGAACAGAGCUGAGAGGGGCCUGCAGGAGCCUGGAGGGAGGAGCUGGAUCUUUGGGGUG